UUGAUGAAGACAAGGAAGAGGAGUAUGAUACAAGUAUGUAUCAUUUUAGUGAGCAUGUAGCUCCAGCGAGGGAGAGUAAGAGCUUGAGUAAAGCUCACAGAAACCAAAGCCUGUUGCAGAAGUGGUGCAAGAAGCAGGAUAAGUUCAUCUCCAAAUGGAUAAAUAGUAUAAAUUCGUUGAAGGCAAUGGUUAGCUUCUCCUCAUCUUGCAGAACCUCCU
rnacentral:pre_miRNA from 1 species